GGGUCGUUAGCUCAGUUGGUAGAGCAGCGGACUCUUAAUCCGCGGGUCGUAGGUUCGAUCCCUACACGACCCACCA
rnacentral:tRNA from 2 species